rnacentral:sRNA from 1 species
GUUUGCACUUGUCGGGGAAGGGUGAGAACCUUCGAUUAAGGUUCGACUCGAGCGAGAGCGAGAGAACGUUGCCAACGGCAACGGCCCGAAGGGUGAGGAGCGAAGCGACGAAUAAUCCUUCCCCCACCACCA